rnacentral:tRNA from 2 species
GUCCGAGUGGUGAAAUUGGUAGACACGCUAGUUUCAGGUACUAGUAUGCUUAGCAUAUAGGGGUUCGAAUCCCCUCUCGGACA